rnacentral:tRNA from 1 species
GGGCCGGUAGUCUAGCUGGUAGGACGCCGCCCUCACGCGGCGGAGGUCGCCGGUUCAAGUCCGGCCCGGCCCACCA